UCCACUGUAAACAGAAGUGAAGAAAUGGGA
rnacentral:piRNA from 1 species